UUUGAGGGUUUCUCUGCUCGCUGGCAAUGCUGCUGGGAUUCUAAUAGGCGAUCCGAUGGAAGAGAAGCCGUCCGGCAGCGGCAGCGGCAGCGAUGGCGGGAUCGAGGAGCCGCUGCUCAAGGACAGUGAGGCGAAAGGAACUCACGAGGAUCACGAGGAUGAGACGGGUAAGGCACCGAUCGAAGAGCAGGGUUUCAGGGGCUACAACUAUGGCGCCAGGCCAUACAGGGACAUCGCAUUCGCGAUCGUGUUCAUCCUCGCGGCUCUAGCUACGCUUGGAUUCGGCAUUUUCGCAAUCGUCCACCACAAUUCCGAUUUCCAGUGGUCGGAGCCGGCUCACUAUCUUCGCAACCAGAGCCGAUGCACGGUCGCCCAUUCCAAUCCCUCCGCGAAGCUGGAUUUCCUUCUAAGUCACCCGGGCAGGAUCUCGUCGUGGAGAACGCUUGCGAGCGUUGUUCUUCCGGAGAGAGUGUCCAGCAGCCACGGCUUUGCGGUGGCACUCAUCUCCUCCCUCGCCGUCACUCUCGUGCUGAGCGUUCCAAUCGUUCUAGCUCUCGUCUGGCUGCUCCGCCACUACACCAAAGAGAUUGUUUACGUGAGCCUCCCUCUCUUCAUCCUCUUCCCCGUGGCUCUCAACAUCCUUUGGUUCGUGGCUUGCGCCAAAGACAGCGAGUGCCAAGACAGCGUCAGUCUCCCCGUUCGCAUCUUGUUCUUCGUCUUCAUCUUCGCCUUCUGUGCGAUCAUAGUCUGGAUCAUCUUCGCCAACUUUGCUCGCGUUGAGCUCACCGUGAGAGUCAUCACCACAGCGUCCGAGGCUCUUUACAGGAAUCUCUCGCUGUUGCUAGUGGUUCCCAGUUUGUCGCUGGUACUGCUUGUCUUCUACGUCCCUGCCGCGUUCUUCCUGGUCUUCUCUUACAUGAAUGGGAAGUAUGUCCCCAAUGCUGAUUUGAGAGAUCGACCUGAGCUUCCCUGCGGCAGAGGCACGAGUCGGGAGUGCUGCGAGUGGAACGUUGAGAGCUGGGUUCCCGCUUACAUGAUUUUGGCUGCUUUGUUUGUUCUCUGGGCGACUUGUGUAGUUGCACAAGCUAAAGUUUACACCAUUAGUGGUACCAUCAGUCAAUGGUACUUUGCAGAGGUUGAUACGCACACGAUUGGAGCUAUGAGAAGAUCGCUUGGGCAAGCAUUUAGUUCCUCGUUCGGGACUAUAUGCUUCUCGGGCUUGAUCUUUGCGUUUGUGCGUCUCAUUCGCAAUGUGGUGGACACUGCCAAGGACAGCCAGGAAGGUGAGGGUCUGGCUAUGUCUUUCCUGCGCUGUUGCUACGAGUGGCUACUCCAAGCCAUUGAAUUUGUCACCAAGUUCACGGUCGACUUCGCUGCGAUCACUGGAGAAGGCUUUUGUUCGUCUGCUGCAAGAACCUACGAGCUUUUGAAACGCAAUCUUCUGUCGACGGUGUUUGUGGAGGUGAUUUCCACCAGGCUCCUCGGUGGCGUGAUGGUUGUAGUCUCGAUCAUCUACGCAGUUGCAGUUUGGGGUAUUCUACUUGGUACUACCAGUCUUGACAGCGGUAUCUACAUUGUCACUGUGCUAUCCGGCGCUUUGCUACUGCUGAUACUCUCCAUUUAUAUCGCGAUCAUGAACAUCAUCGUCGACACUGUUUACAUCUGCUAUGCAAUGGACAAAGACCGAGGCGUGGUCUCCAAGCCAGAAGCUCAUGACGUCUACGUUCUUCUUCCGGUAUCGCAAGACGAGAGAGCCUCCUUGGCUGUUCCACAGAGCAAAGACGACUCCCCCGUCUGAGCUAAAUUGGACAUGAUUUCGCUAUUGCUUUGGAGGAACGAACAAAAAGAAAAAAAAGAAAAACGUAUCGGUCUCUCAGCUCCGUGUAGCAGUCCGCAAUCGCUCCCAGAGCCUCAGUGUAUCCACUGUGCUCGCCGGAGAGAUGGGCGAUGGUGAGCACCAUGCUAUGGUGCUUUAUGGCCUCUCG